CUCAUUCUUUCUUCUUUUUCAUUUUUCUUUAUGUUCUCUUUGUCCUUCUUUCUCUGCAAAUUUUUUCUUCACCGUAUCAGUCGAUGGAGCAGAAAUUUGAGGUUAGCAAUUACACCAGUGAAGUUCAUAAGACAUGGAAUUGUUGGUUGAGUUAAUAUUGAAUCUUUCUGAUCUCCGAAGGAAGAUGAAUAUGUUACUCUUUAUUAACACCGAUCGAUUUAAAGGAUGAACCGGUGGAUUGAGGAUCUCAAGUUAGUUGAGGCUUGUCAUCAUUUCAGGUGGGAGCUCUUGUAACCUUCUUGUAAUCAUUAAGUUUCAUUUCAACAGCGAUCAUGAUGUGCCUUUACUUCUUGUGAGCAUAUUUGUGUGUUAUUUAAUGGGUAUGAGUUGUGACAUGCGUCACCUAGUAUCCCCGCAGGGAGUGUCUAUGGUUUCCCCUUGGCUCUUUGUUAAGUCUUAUAGCCCAGAUGAGGCAGUACAUAGCACGAGAAGUGCAUAUAAUAGUUAUAUAGCGCAGAUGAUGUAACGAUAUUACUUUUUAUUUUAUAUGGUAAAUUUAUGUAUUAUUCAGCACGAGAACUGUAAAUACUACUACGAGGUAUUUGGGGAAAACAAUCAUUCGCAUAUCAUACUUGUCUGAUCACAUAAUCUGUAUUUCCUUUUUUAAAAGCUAUAAUUCGAUGUUGUGUUCGCUGUUUGGUGUAAAA